rnacentral:rRNA from 1 species
AACGAACGUUGGCGGCGUGGAUUAGGCAUGCAAGUCGAGCGAGAAGUGUAGCAAUACACGGAAAGCGGCGGAAGGGAGAGUAAUACGUGGGAAUCUGCCCUUAGACCUGGGAUAGCAGCGGGAAACUGCUGGUAAUACCAGAUAAUGUCUAUGGACCAAAGGUGUGAUUCCGUCUAGGGAUGAGCCCACGUCCUAUUAGCUAGUUGGUAGGGUAAUGGCCUACCAAGGCGAUGAUGGGUAGCGGGUGUGAGAGCAUGACCCGCCUCACUGGGACUGAGACACUGCCCAGACACCUACGGGUGGCUGCAGUCGAGAAUCUUCGGCAAUGGGCGCAAGCCUGACCGAGCGGUGCCGCGUGCGGGAUGAAGGCCUUCGGGUUGUAAACCGCUGUCGAGGGGGAGCAACUUCCAUAGAGUUAUCUUUAUGGAUUGAGUGAUCCCUGGAGGAAGGACGGGCUAAGUUCGUGCCAGCAGCCGCCGUAAGAC